UGGCCAGUGUGAUACUUAGCUCCACACCAGAACAAAGGCCCUUUUGUUUCCUUUUUGCCAUUAGUGUAGGGCUUACCCCUUUGGAGGGUGCUUUAGAGGUUACAUUUCCUCCUGAGGGUGGGUGAACAAAAGUACUCGACUGGUUGGAGACAACAGUUUGGGAAGAGACCACAGUAUACUAAUUUGGAUUGAACCUCGUGACAAUGGUAGUUCCUACUAAAAUUCCUUUUCUUGGAAAAGUUUUAAGGAUACCUUCCACCUGUUGAACAAUAUGGAAUCCUUCUACCAAGGAUUGAGGUCUAAACAAAUAUAGGUAUUGUCUUAUGUCUUUUUUCAAGUUACAAAUGUAAAUGCUAAGAGCAUAUGAUCCAGACAAUUGAAAUUGGUUUAACAGACUUACAAAUUGGUCAUAAUACUACUCCACUGAACCUUUCUAUUUCAAGGUCACCAACUCGGCCAUUGAAUCCUUGAAAAUUCUUGUUCCAAAGUGCUUCCUCAAAGCGUGGGCAUAACAGACCCAGUCCAACAAGGGAAGACCCCAAUGCUUUUGGGCGUAGAAGUGCUGCUAGUAUAGGGCAUGACCCUCAAGAUGAAGCAUCACUGUUCCCACAUUGUCACUAUUAGGUACCCCUUCUACAACAAAGUAUUGUUCCAGUUUCAACCACCAACCUCAAAAAUUCAUGCCAUCGAAACGUGGGCAAUCCAACCUGUAAGUACGCUCUUGAAGGGCCUUGAUUUUUUGUAGGUUGGGACCUGACUACCCCACAGUCUAUGGGGGAACAUCGGAACCGUCCUUGGCUGGAAACCUAGGGGGUGGUCCUCCAAGGACCCCCUUUCCUUUGGUUUGAGUAGUGGUUGUGGUGUUUGAAGCAGUUGUAUUCCCCAGGUACUUUUCAAACAACUAGUGCAUCUCCAUUUGAAACUCCUCUUUGAAUCAUUGAAAUUGAACCUCCAUUUUGGUGUCCCACUUAGAAUCCAAUUGAGAAAGUUCAUCGGUCAUCGCUAACCGUUAGCUUUGAUACCUUUGGGACGAUUGUUGAUAGUAGAGAGAGAAGAGAGAAUAAAGAGAAAUUAGAGGAAGAAAUCUGGCUCAAUA
rnacentral:lncRNA from 1 species